AUUGAACGCUGGCGGCAUGCCUUACACAUGCAAGUCGAACGGCAGCACGGGUGCUUGCACCUGGUGGCGAGUGGCGAACGGGUGAGUAAUACAUCGGAACGUACCUUAUCGUGGGGGAUAACGCAGCGAAAGCUGUGCUAAUACCGCAUACGCCCUGAGGGGGAAAGCGGGGGAUCGAAAGACCUCGCGCGAUUAGAGCGGCCGAUGCCUGAUUAGCUUGUUGGUGGGGUAAAAGCCCACCAAGGCGACGAUCAGUAGCUGGUCUGAGAGGACGAUAAGCCACACUGGGACUGAGACACGGCCCAGACUCCUACGGGAGGCAGCAGUGGGGAAUUUUGAACAAUGGGGGCAACCCUGAUCCAGCAAUGCCGCGUGAGUGAAGAAGGCCUUCGGGUUGUAAAGCUCUUUUGUCAGGGAAGAAACACCGGCUCUAACACAGUCCGGGAAUGACGGUACCUGAAGAAUAAGCACCGGCUAACUACGUGCCAGCAGCCGCCGUAA
rnacentral:rRNA from 1 species